rnacentral:tRNA from 1 species
GGGGGUUUAGCUCAGUGGUAGAGCGCUUGCCUAGCAAGCUCAAGGCCCUGGGUUCAGUCCCCAGCUCCG